rnacentral:lncRNA from 1 species
UUUCCUUUCAGUCAUGGCUGCUGGCUGCUGGCUGCCACUUCUAGCGAUAUUUUCCUGUUUAGGUUGUUAAGAAAAGAGAAACUUAAGACUGCUUUGCUCUUCUUAUGAAUGUCGUAUGAGAUUUAUGUUUGUUACUUAGACUAUGUUAAGUAGAGAGGACACAAACAAACUGCCAUUACUUAAGAUAGAAUUCUGUUGGGUUGGGAUUGGGGCAAAAGUGCAUCAACACAUUUUUGAGAAACCAGCAAGUUUUUGUGUUGGAUCUUGGAUGUCAAUGAGGAAAGUGAUGGCUUAUAAUUGCAACUAUUACCUCAAAUGCCCAAUAACUGACAGAAUCAAUUUAAUUCUAUUCACAUCCGCUGCUUCAAAAAAUGUGUUUAUCGUUAGCAAGGACCAAUAAAUUUAGAACACAUCACAUGUUGUUCAUUUUUACAUCACCAUGUACGCAAAUAUU